CAGGAAGUAACUCAUUUAAGCAAUUGAAAGUAGAAGCUUGAUCCAAAAUACUAACCAACUAAAAAUCAUAAUUCUUGGAUCUUAAACCGCAUACACAAAACAAGUCCAAAAACUAGUAUUCACUUUUGUAAGCAACCACAAGAGAUUGAACUAUGAUAACGAGAAUAAAAUAACAUAGACACAGGUUAGUACUUGCAGAUAGAUAAGGCAAUAAAUAGUUGCAAAAUAAGGCACAGUACACAUGGACUAAAGGGGUGAAUUUAAGAUGGAACUCUGUAACAUCAGCAAUAUAUUCACCAUAACCUUUUUCAACUACCUAUGUGUAAACAUAAUUUCUAGAAUAAUCAAUACACUGUUUGGUUAACAGUUUCAGCUAUUCUAGAACUCAAAGCAUUCCACCAAUUUAGAAGGACAACGAGAUACAAUUGGGAACCAAUACAAUG
rnacentral:misc_RNA from 1 species